AGACAUGUCAGUCGCUUCGCUUGACAGACAGAUGAAGUGUGCGAAAGGGAAGCCAUGACGUAUAUGAACAAGCCAUAAGUGCAAAAGAGGCAGACUACAUAUGAGAAAACGUAACCAAUUUUGAGUUCGAAGGCGGCCGAGGUGGCCAAAAUCAUAUUGCCGUAUUUUUUAACGUGAAAAAUAUAAGCGAAUCAAAAAGAAAAUUAUACAUUAAGUAAUUAAGUGACGAUGGUGUCAUGUUGUGUGCCGGGUUGUAGUAUUUCAGGGCCAAAAAACCCAGGAAAAUACUCAUUUCACAGGAAACACAAGACAGCGUAUACUUGUACACAGCGUAUACACAUCCAACCCAAGUUGUCAGCAGGAAAAGGCGCGAAAUUCAAAUUUUCUUUGGUAAGUCAACUCUUUGCGAACACAUUUUCAAACAACUUCAACUUUAUCAUUUUCAACUUUUUCAAACACAUUUGAAAAAGUAGUCGAUAAAGCACUUAAACAUCGAUAGAUUAUUAAUAUGUUGUAACAUGACAUCACUAUUUUUGUUCGCACAUAGACAAUUUACGCACACACUUGCAUUUCAUUUUUGGUCACACUUUCCAAGUUUGACAGUCGUUCUAUACUAUCCUAUUUCUAUGCGCCCGACGGUAGCGAAACGGCCAAGCCACAUAUUUCGAUUAAGAUGUCUGUGUUUCACGAAAGUUGUGGUACCAAUAUCACCAUUAUAACCUUAAGGAGAAGGAUGAGUAUAUUUCUUAUUUACCUACUGACAAAAUCGCUUUAUCAGACUCUAUUACCUACAGGAAAAACAACAAAUCACCCUAAACAUGACAGCAACACUUAGCAAUCGCCAAAAACAACACGCCAUCUUUCACCAACUUUUUAAACAAUCGCUCCAUUUCACCUUCCGUUGUUUAGUUGCGAGACAGUUGUUUACGCUGCGCUGAUCGAUGCGUGCAGAGAAACGUGCAGACAAACAAAAUGAUCGAUUGUUAUUAAUUGAGGUUAUGAUGUUAUUGUCUUAUAUUCACCUUUUAUUAAGAUUUUGAUAAUACAUUGAGGUUAGGUUCCAACAUAAAAUAAAUAAUAAAACAAAUGCAUCUGGGUUACAAUUGUUCAUAACGAAUACUUAUUUCAAAUCGAUAUACUCGUAUUUAGCGAUGUGACAGACGGACAAACGGACAGUCGCAGCAAAAGGGUUAAUUUUUAUCUCUUUGGAACGGAACCCAAAAAUAGAAAAUAAUGCAAAGUUUACAAAGAAUGACGACCGUCCUGGCCUAGUGGGUAGUGACCCUGCCUAUGAAGCCGAUGGUCGCGGGUUCAAAUCCUGGUAAGGGCAUUUAUUAUUAAUUAAUUAAUAUUGUCCUUUUCUGCCUGAAACACAGGAACUUCUAGUUCAGGCAUUUGUAAUUUUUUCCUUAUCCUUAAUUCUUAGUCUUCAAGAUCCACCACUGUGGAAUACUUUUUCAACAAAUUAUUU